rnacentral:miRNA from 1 species
ACAUACAUACGUAUAUGCCUGGCUCCCUGUAUGCCAUUUGAAGAGCCCACCGGAAAAUCGAUGGCCCUCCGUGAAUGGCGUAUGAGGAGCCAAGCAUAUUUCGCACGGUCGUAUGCAUG